UAGGACGAAUUUAAUUUUGGUUCCGAUUGAACGUUUUUCAGUAGUUUUAAGACAUGCAAAUCAUUGUUCUAAAAAUUAUCUCAAAAUUUAAUGUGCAUAACGUCAAAUUCUGAUAAAACUAGGAAUAAGGUGUAAAGGUGAGUAAUGAUAAAUUAGAUACCUUAUAGACUCUCUAAAUGGGGGAUAAAUAUUACUCUAUUAUAAUUCUCCAUCUGAAGUUUUAACUAAAGAUGUGAUUUAAUAAUUGCUUUAUUAAUUUGAAAAAUAAUGAGGUUCUUUCUAGUUUAACACAAAAAUAAACUUUUAUAAUUACAAAAUUAUAUUAAAGAAAGUGAAAAUAUUGAUAAAAUAGCUAUUUUAUUAAAGAAAGGAAUUUUUCUGCUAUAAGAUUCGAUUUAUUUUGUUUAGGUAGUUGGUAGGGUAAAGGCCUACCAAGCCCACGAUCAAUAGCCAAGUUUGACAGAACAAAUGGCCACAUUGGGAAUGAAAAGCCCCAAGUAGUUUUAACUACCAGCAGUCGAGAAUAUUAGUCAAUGCUCGAAAGAGUGAACUAGCUAACUGAAAUCACAUGACUCAUUCUUAUAGGUGGUGAAUGUGAUAAGGUGUAGGGAAAAAAAUGAUAUUACCUCACUAAAAGUGUUGUCCAAAUCUGGUGCCAGAAGACUCGGUAAGACCAGAAACGCAAACGUUAGUCAUCUUAAUCAGGCGUAAAGGGUAUGUAGGCAGCUUUGAAAAUUUUAAUUUUAAAAAAAAUUUUUUUUCUUUUCUAGAAAAAAGAGUAGCUCUAUUUUGUUCAAUAAAUUAAAUAGUAAAAAUAAAAUCAAUUAAAGCUAGAAUCUAAUAGAGGAAAAACCAAAUAAUACUUAGAGUAGGGAUGAUAUCCAUAGAUACUAAGGGGAAUACUAAGGGCGAAAGCUUUUUUUCUACUAAAGAUUGACGCUGAGAAACGAAGGUGAGAAUAGGAAAUAGGAUUAGAUACCCAGAUACCUCUCACUGUCAACGAUGAAUGGUGGUUGUUAGUUUUAAUAAAAACUGAUGGCGAUGUUAACACGAUAACCAUUCCGCCUUGCGAGUACGGUUGCAAAACUGAAACCAAAAAAAUUAGUCGGUCUCGAAGCAAACGAAGUGAAGCAUGUUAUUUAAUACGACAAUACGCGUAUAACCUUACCAGACCUUGCAUAUCUAGCUCUUUUUAUUUUUUUCAUUUAAUUUGAGUGAGUAUAUUUUAAAUCUUUUUUUAAAAUAAUACGCAGAUACAGGUGUUGCAUGGCUGUCGUCAGUCCGUGUUGUGAAGAGUGAGGUUAACUCCACUAACGGACGCAAUCCCUGUUGUUAAUUUAUACUUAACAAUUUAUGAUUCUGAUAGAGUUUCAUUUGGGGCUAAGACAAGCCGUUAUGGCCCUAAUGGUCUGGGCUAUAGACGUGCCACAUAAACUUUUACAAAGUGAUGCAAAACUAUACCUAUUUAAAAUUAUUUACUUAAAAUUUUUAAGUUUAUUAAUUUAUUAUUUAUUUUUAAAUAAAAAAGGUAAUAAGGAAUAGCUAAUCAUUAAAAAAAGUUCAUUUUUAAAAUGAUUGAACGGAUUGUCGCCUGAAAUUCGGCGACAUGAAGAAGGAAUUUCGAGUAAUCGUUGAUCACGACGCAACGGUGAAGAUAGCAUUCGUGAUGAACUAACUGUCUGUCGCUGGGAAGAAGCUUAACUUGGGGGAAACUGCCACGAAAAUAAAACUUUAAUAUAAGUUUGCCUUUCUUUAAUUUUGUUAUUUUAGAAAUUUAAAUUAUUAAUUUAAUUUUUUCCUAGUCCCUUAUCCAAAAGAUGAGGAGCCGUAGGUAGGUAGUUUUUAUUUAUAUAUUUUUAUUUAAGUAUAAAAAAUAAUAAUUUUUGCAUUUAAAAAACACUUAUAUUAAGAUAUUUAGUAUCUGUUAACCCAUUUAAGUAACAUCUCAAAAGUCAUAGCAAGGUAGCUGUACUGGAAAGUGCUGCUGGAAAAUAAAAAAUAUUGAAUUUAACCCC
rnacentral:ncRNA from 1 species